rnacentral:rRNA from 1 species
AUGAUGACUCUCGGCAACGGAUAUCUCGGCUCUCGCAUCGAUGAAGAACGUAGCGAAAUGCGAUACCUGGUGUGAAUUGCAGAAUCCCGUGAACCAUCGAGUCUUUGAACGCAAGUUGCGCCCGAGGCCACCCGGUCGAGGGCACGCCUGCCUGGGCGUCAUGA